UACGUAGGGUGCGAGCGUUAAUCGGAAUUACUGGGCGUAAAGCGUGCGCAGGCGGUUUUGUAAGCCCGAUGUGAAAUCCCCGGGCUUAACCUGGGAAUGGCAUUUGGGACUGCAAGGCUUGAGUGCGGCAGAGGGGGAUGGAAUUCCGCGUGUAGCAGUGAAAUGCGUAGAUAUGCGGAGGAACACCGAUGGCGAAGGCAAUCCCCUGGGCCUGCACUGACGCUCAUGCACGAAAGCGUGGGGAGCAAACAGG
rnacentral:rRNA from 1 species